UCCUACUCUAAAUCAUCCUUGAAAACGUCCACAGCUUCAUUUUCUCUAUUUCACAACGAAUAAGCCCCAGAGGAAUGAACUUCCUGUUUAUGCUGUGGUUCCCAGGAAAGAGGAGCAAAUGUACAGGCAGCUAAUUAAACCCUUCAGUGGAGGAGGGUUGAUUACAAAUGGCAUAUAGUGAAAAAGUAUUUAGCUUUCGUUUUUGCUGGAGAGGAAAAUAUUUCAAAAUAAUUUAAUGUUUGUACUCCUACCUGCUACUUUUGCUCAAGCCUCGAGACAAUCCCAGAGGAAUGGAGAAUUAGAAGAAAGGCUUCUCCCUUUGGGACAAAGACUUUUUGGUAAACACUUGUGGGCUCUGGUUUCAGAUUGCAUCAGUUCAGGAACUAAUUCCAGGCCCAAAACUGAGAACAAGCUUUGACUUGAUUUUUAAAUUACUUUGAGAAUAGAUGAGAGUUUCCAGAUUCUGGUUUUAGAAUGUUGAAUUUCACUUUCCAAGGAAACUGGCUUAUUCAGGCUUUCUCAAGCAUAUUCUGUAUAAGUGUAUCAUCCUCUUCUUUGGAAGGAAUUUCUAAUCCUAAAUUUUCUUCCAUUAAUUACUUAUAAUCAUAUCACCUCCAGCAGAACUAUUACAGUCGGGUGAAUUUUUCCUCUGCUGUUUAAAGGAUAGUUGCAGGUCUUCUCUUUUUCAGGAAGUGACUCCAGGAAUUGAUUCAUAACAAGAGAUCCACCAGAGAUUUUAUAUAUUUGGGCUGUGGUGGCAGACCAGUUACAUCUCAGCACUUGAUAUCCACAUCUCUGAGAUAUUCAGAGCCAUUUAUAUUUCCCUGUAAAAUGUGUCCAGAUGCAGAAAAAGCAUUUGACAAAAUCCAAUAAUCAUUCAUCAUGUGGAUGAACUCUCAGCAAGCGAGGAAAAGGAAAAGAGGAGAACCUCCCCAACAUGAUAAAGAACAUGAAAACAAAACACCCUACAGAGAACAUCAUACUUAAUGGUAAAAAGCUUGACGUUUUCCCACUAAAUCAGGAACAAGACAAGGAUGACUCUCCUCACUACUCCAUUCCAGCAUCAGACUGAAGUCUUAACUAAUACAAUAACAAUAAAUGGAAGCAAUACAGAUUGGGAAGGGAGAAAGCAAAACUGUCCUUGUUUGCAGAAGAUAUGAUUGUCUAUGUAGAAAAUCUGUACUUGUACUCUUACGUUCUUACAUAAGGGAACAAAACAGAGGAAGUUAAACAAAAGACCCAGAACAAAUGGUUUCACAUGGAAUAUGUAGUCACAUUGCCUUACCGAGUUUAUCAAUAUUUGAACAUAAGGUUAUUGAAAGGAAUCAAUCCCAGUAUAACAUUGGUGAAAAACAGCAUAAAACAUCUGUAUCCUUGAAAUCUUUUUUAUUGGGCCUUCAGACAUAAUGGCCUUGGGGCUACUGGAUGCAGUUACUGUACCAUUUAGGAAUUUUAUGGGUGCUAUUU